AUUGAACGCUGGCGGCAGGCCUAACACAUGCAAGUCGAGCGGUAGCACAGAGAGCUUGCUCUCGGGUGACGAGCGGCGGACGGGUGAGUAAUGUCUGGGAAACUGCCUGAUGGAGGGGGAUAACUACUGGAAACGGUAGCUAAUACCGCAUAACGUCGCAAGACCAAAGUGGGGGACCUUCGGGCCUCAUGCCAUCAGAUGUGCCCAGAUGGGAUUAGCUAGUAGGUGGGGUAAUGGCUCACCUAGGCGACGAUCCCUAGCUGGUCUGAGAGGAUGACCAGCCACACUGGAACUGAGACACGGUCCAGACUCCUACGGGAGGCAGCAGUGGGGAAUAUUGCACAAUGGGCGCAAGCCUGAUGCAGCCAUGCCGCGUGUGUGAAGAAGGCCUUCGGGUUGUAAAGCACUUUCAGCGGGGAGGAAGGCGUUAAGGUUAAUAACCUUGGCGAUUGACGUUACCCGCAGAAGAAGCACCGGCUAACUCCGUGCCAGCAGCCGCGGUAAUACGGAGGGUGCAAGCGUUAAUCGGAAUUACUGGGCGUAAAGCGCACGCAGGCGGUCUGUCAAGUCGGAUGUGAAAUCCCCGGGCUCAACCUGGGAACUGCAUUCGAAACUGGCAGGCUAGAGUCUUGUAGAGGGGGGUAGAAUUCCAGGUGUAGCGGUGAAAUGCGUAGAGAUCUGGAGGAAUACCGGUGGCGAAGGCGGCCCCCUGGACAAAGACUGACGCUCAGGUGCGAAAGCGUGGGGAGCAAACAGGAUUAGAUACCCUGGUAGUCCACGCCGUAAACGAUGUCGAUUUGGAGGUUGUGCCCUUGAGGCGUGGCUUCCGGAGCUAACGCGUUAAAUCGACCGCCUGGGGAGUACGGCCGCAAGGUUAAAACUCAAAUGAAUUGACGGGGGCCCGCACAAGCGGUGGAGCAUGUGGUUUAAUUCGAUGCAACGCGAAGAACCUUACCUGGUCUUGACAUCCACAGAACUUUCCAGAGAUGGAUUGGUGCCUUCGGGAACUGUGAGACAGGUGCUGCAUGGCUGUCGUCAGCUCGUGUUGUGAAAUGUUGGGUUAAGUCCCGCAACGAGCGCAACCCUUAUCCUUUGUUGCCAGCGGUUAGGCCGGGAACUCAAAGGAGACUGCCAGUGAUAAACUGGAGGAAGGUGGGGAUGACGUCAAGUCAUCAUGGCCCUUACGACCAGGGCUACGCACGUGCUACAAUGGCAUAUACAAAGAGAAGCGACCUCGCGAGAGCAAGCGGACCUCAUAAAGUAUGUCGUAGUCCGGAUUGGAGUCUGCAACUCGACUCCAUGAAGUCGGAAUCGCUAGUAAUCGUAGAUCAGAAUGCUACGGUGAAUACGUUCCCGGGCCU
rnacentral:rRNA from 1 species